GCUUGAUAGGUCAGUUGGUUAGAGCGUGGUCCUGAUAAUGCCAUGGUUGCAGGUUUGAUCCCCUUAAGGGACA